rnacentral:rRNA from 1 species
UACGAAGGGGGCAAGCGUUGUCCGGAUUUAUUGGGCGUAAAGCGCACGCAGGCGGUCUCUUAAGUUUCGAGUGACAGGUCAGGGCUUAACCCUGGCAGGCCUUGGAAAACUGGGAGACUUGAGGGCUGCAGAGGGACGCGGAAUUCCAGGUGGAGCGGUGAAAUGCGUAGAGAUCUGGAGGAACACCGGUGGCGAAGGCGGCAUCCUGGACCAACACUGACACUGAGGAGCGAAAGCCAGGGGAGCAAACGGG